GUAGAUGUAGUUUAACCUCAAAAUGCUAGAUUGUGAUUCUAAAGACUGGAGGUUAAAAUCCUCCCAUCCACC
rnacentral:tRNA from 1 species